GACCCGAAAUUUAUUAUUCGUUAUUUAAUUAUUUUAUUACGCGAGGGCGUAAUUCAUAAUUAUUUUAUUAAGCGGCGAAUAAUUAAUUGGCGCGAAUAUAAGUUAAUACGCGAGUUAGGAGCGUUACGUGAGUGAACCGUAUUAUUGGGCCUUGGAUUUGUUAUUGGGCUUUUGGCCCAAUGGGCCAAGACAAGUGGGAAGGGGGAGGUUUACUCAUGCAAGUGGGAGGAGAUAUUUCCACAAUUUUUCUUGUUGGAUAAGAAGAAGAGAAAAAGUCAUGAGCAAGUGGAUGAUCAUGGUUAAGUGAGUGAACCAUGAUUAACUUGAACUUGGAGAGCAAGACUAGAUCAAGUGACCAUGAUUCUUUGUGUGGUGAGCAAGAAUAGAUCAAAAGGCCAUGUUUAAUUCAAGCUUUCUAUAUAAUUAUAUGAAUAGGAAAAAUCACAUAAUUCAUUCAUUUCUUUCCUCAAAACCGUGAGCCUUCCUUAUCAUGCCUAACCCUUCACCAAAUUUUCAUUUCUUCACCAAAUUGAUCCAUUAGAAGCUUGUUGGAAUCAUGGGAGUUCAAGGAUCAUCAUCCCUAAGCUAGGGCAAGCAAGAGAGCAAAGCAAGAGGGUGCUAGGGCUUGAGAAAGAGAGGAGCUCAUGAGAGCUAGAACAUGAGGAGCUUGAGGAUUCAUCAAAUUUCUAAGAUAUCCAGAUUGACAGGUUAUAUGUUAGCUUGUCCGAGUAGCGUGGUGAAGCUCCGCUCUUAUUGUGACACGGGGAGAAAAGGGGUUUUGUAUAUAUAUAUAAAAAUUCCUUUAGAAAAUUACUCUGUAAUUGCUUAUGUUUUCAUAUAAGAAUUAUUCUUUGUGAAAAGUAUUGGUUUUGUAUAACUUAUAACGCAUCGUGUUGAUGCGGAGGA